GUUUUGUUUUUCGAUUUCAUAAUAAGGACAAAUAAUAAGCAAUCCGUGACUAUGUGUCUUCAUAGCAAUGAUCAUAACUUAGUAAUUGAAACGCAUGUUAUAAUUAGACUAUUUACCGGAUUUGUUAUUACAUAAGCAACACGACGGGUGCCACAUGUGGAGCAGGAUCUGCUUACCCUUCCGGAGCACCAGAGAUCACCCCUAGUUUUUGAUGGGGUUCGUGUGUUGUUUAUUCUUUAGUUUUCUAUGUUGUGUCAUAUGUACUAUUGUUUGUCUGUUUGUCUUUUUCAUUUUUAGCCAUGGCGUUGUCAGUUUGUUUUAGAUUUAUGAGUUUGACUGUCCCUUUGGUAUCUUUCGUCCCUCUUUUACACAUAUGUUAGUCAUUAACUAGUUAUCAAAGGUAUCAGGAUUAUAAUUUAUUACGCCAGACGCGCGUUUCGUCUACAUAAGACUCAUCA
rnacentral:lncRNA from 1 species